rnacentral:rRNA from 1 species
UACGUAGGGGGCUAGCGUUGUCCGGAAUCAUUGGGCGUAAAGAGCGCGUAGGCGGCCAGACAAGUCCGGUGUGAAAGUCACAGGCUCAACCUGUGAAUGCCGCUGGAAACUGCUUGGCUUGAGUUCGGGAGAGGGAAGCGGAAUUCCGGGUGUAGCGGUGAAAUGCGUAGAUAUCCGGAGGAACACCGGUGGCGAAGGCGGCUUCCUGGACCGACACUGACGCUGAGGCGCGAAAGCUAGGGGAGCAAACGGG